GGGAGAGGAAGAGAGGACAUUCGAAGGGCAGAAGUCUGACCUUUGCAAGCACACAUGAACCACACCAAUGAGAAAUGAAUGGAUGAGCCAGAUGCCAAAUUAUAAAUUUCCUACUGCACAGCUUCAAUGUGAAAGAAACCCAGUCCCCUACAAUGGAUCCUCUGGCACAGAGAGCUGAGAAGUACACGUGGCCGACAAAGAGAAGGGAAGAUGGAGCCGCCAUCUUCAACAGGAGUGGCACACCUGUCGGAUCUAUGUCUGCAGCUGGAUUUUACAGGCUGCUCUUCAUUAGAAAGGAAAACUUUAUGGAGGACUUCCAUGCCCUCGCUAUCUACCUAAGUAAAUUCUUCUUAACUCCUGUACCAGUCUCAGCCUCAUUUUGCCC